GCCUGGGGGGCUCAGUUGGUUGAGCAUCUGACUUCGGCUCAGGUCAUGAUCCCGCGGUUUGUGGGUUUGAGCCCCGCAUCGGGCU
rnacentral:tRNA from 1 species